UUAACACAUGCAAGUCGAGGGGAAACGACAUCGAAAGCUUGCUUUUGAUGGGCGUCGACCGGCGCACGGGUGAGUAACGCGUAUCCAACCUGCCCACCACUUGGGGAUAACCUUGCGAAAGUAAGACUAAUACCCAAUGAUAUCUCUAGAAGACAUCUGAAAGAGAUUAAAGAUUUAUCGGUGAUGGAUGGGGAUGCGUCUGAUUAGCUUGUUGGCGGGGUAACGGCCCACCAAGGCUACGAUCAGUAGGGGUUCUGAGAGGAAGGUCCCCCACAUUGGAACUGGGACACGGUCCAAACUCCUACGGGAGGCAGCAGUGAGGAAUAUUGGUCAAUGGACGAGAGUCUGAACCAGCCAAGUAGCGUGCAGGAUGACGGCCCUAUGGGUUGUAAACUGCUUUUAUAAGGGAAUAAAGUGAGUCUCGUGAGACUUUUUGCAUGUACCUUAUGAAUAAGGACCGGCUAAUUCCGUGCCAGCAGCCGCGGUAAUACGGAAGGUCCGGGCGUUAUCCGGAUUUAUUGGGUUUAAAGGGAGCGUAGGCCGGAGAUUAAGCGUGUUGUGAAAUGUAGAUGCUCAACAUCUGCACUGCAGCGCGAACUGGUUUCCUUGAGUACGCACAAAGUGGGCGGAAUUCGUGGUGUAGCGGUGAAAUGCUUAGAUAUCACGAAGAACUCCGAUUGCGAAGGCAGCUCACUGGAGCGCAACUGACGCUGAAGCUCGAAAGUGCGGGUAUCGAACAGGAUUAGAUACCCUGGUAGUCCGCACGGUAAACGAUGGAUGCCCGCUGUUGGUCUGAAUAGGUCAGCGGCCAAGCG
rnacentral:rRNA from 1 species